GGCUGCACGGUGGUGUAGUGGUCAGCACCUUCGCCUCACAGCAAGAAGGUUCUGGGUUCGAAUCCCGGUUCAACCA
rnacentral:tRNA from 14 species